GGCUGCAGUCCAGGGACCAGCUGAGCUGAAUUCUCAUGUGGAGAAUAGAGAAUUAACUAGAGAACUAACUAGAGAAUAAUCUUCUUCUAGGCUCACUCAAGUUAUUGGCAGAACUUAGUUCCUUAUGGUUGUAUGACGGAGAGCUGUGGCUUUUCAAUGACUCUCCACUGGAAGCUGCCCUUGGAUCCUCAAACCCUCCCAGUUCCAGCAGACCUCUCACACCAUGGCAGCUUGCUCUUCAAGCCGCCCGGCCGCCAUGUUCCACGCCAGCCCUCGCGCCCCAUCAGUCCCUGCACUGGACCACCUCUGGCUCCUUCACUUCUCCUUUGUGGCUCUUAUUCCAUGAAGCCAGCCUACGUCUCACAUGCAUCAGGCUGCUUUGACGGGGCAUCUCCAUCUUUCGUCUGUGACUAUUGGCUGGGUGAGUAUUUCCUUCUUUGUAAACGGAGAGCCUGUUGCACUUUGCAUGUGAAUCAUUUACCUUCCUGGCGGUUCAGACACUGUAAGCUCCGUGUCCGGUGGGGAUGGCCUGCCUGGUGUGAGGUUACCUUCUCAGACCUCUGCGCUCUGCCUGGCACAUGGCUAACAGUCCAUAAAUAUUGAGACUUCUAGCAUCACUGAAAAUGUUUACAUAUCCCUCAGUUGAUAAUAACAAUAAUAAAAAAAUGUAGAUAUAGCAAAUAUUCACUAUUUGCCAGGCUCAGGUCAGGGUCCCUAGAUGAUGACUACACAUGUGCCUGCUUUGAAACUGAGUAAGUUAUUAGUAGGUUUUUAUGUACUUUGGGGGUCUGUGUGUUAUUUUGUCACACUAAGAGUAUUGCAGUUAGAGUCCCUGGGUUCAUAUGCAAGUCACAUGUGGGUGUACACGUGUGAGUUUGUGUGUGUGUGUGCACAUACACAGAUAUACAUGAUGUGUGCAUAUAUACACCAUACAUAUAUUUUCUUGGUUUUUAUCCUACUCAUUCGCCCACAUGAACUUGCUUUGAAGCACCACUAAAGGCAUCUCCAAGGUGGCAAUCCAGAUCAAGAAGCCAGAAUCCAGUGGUUCCCACUAAUAAGAGAUAACACAGGAGUAAUUGGAAGGUAUGCCACAGAGUCGUACGACCCCUGCUAAUGUUUAAUCUGUGCAAAAUGUGUGGACAGGACUAUCGGUUUUGAAGUCUUCCUUCUGCGAAUUUCUCCAUGAACCACUCGCUGCUCACUUUCUUUCUCUUCAUUCUCUUAAGGACUCAGAUCCUACCACGGCUCACAUCUUUCCCAGUGGCUCCUGGACGUUAGGUAGAAGGCAAACCUUUCCAGAAUCCUUGCUUGCUUGCUUGCUUUCUUAAAAUAUUUUAUUUAUUUAUUUGACAGACAGAGAUCACAAGUAGGCAGAGGCAGGCAGAGAGAGAGAGAGAGAGAGAGAGAGAGACAGGGGGGAAGCAGGCUCCCUGCUGAGCAGAGAGCCCAAUGUGGGGCUCAAUCCCAGGACCCUGGGAUCAUGACCUGAGCCGAAGGCAGAGGCUUUAACCAGGCACUCCUUGCUUUCUGUACCGAUGCGCUCUGCAUGCUGAUACGUAUGUGGAUGUGUUUAUAAGGCGUAGGACAUCUCCCCUCCCAAACGGUUCCAUCUCAGUCAAUUAUGUCCAUCCCUGGGAGUGAGUUGCAGCAAGGCUCUGGGGAGUUGGUGCCCAAGUCUGACCUUAGGCUCAGUCUCUCAUCUGAACAUCAUUCUCUUUGGCGCAUGUCCAUCUUUUAAGUCUACGAUUAUUGGCUGGAUGAGUAUUUCCAUCGGGGCGACCUGUGAACCCCUCACCCCUUGUAUAUCAAAAAAAUAACGUCCCUUCUAGAUCAGUCCUCCCCUCACCUUCUUUUCACUCAGGCUUGGGAGUCCGUGAUUGUCCCUGAGUUUGCAUCCCGUCAGUCAGGGAGGCCUGCGGCUUCUCCCUCCUUCGAGCCCUCCUGUCUCUCCCCUCCAUUCUGGGGGCUCAGGUCUCCUUAUUUCUCACCUGAUGUUAGCCCCUGCCGGCGCCUCCCUCCUCCACUUCACCCUGGACAGGACUGCCAGGACUUCCUCCCACAACCAAGGGCUGAUUUUAUCUUUUCUCUGCUUAGAAGCUUUUACCAACUCCCAAAUGUUCCUAAUGGCAUUUGUUAUCUGCCUGAAACUACCUGUUUAAUCUUCUUCCUCCUUUUGCCCCUCCCUCCAUCUCUCUCUCCCUCCCUCCCACACACACACACACACACACACACACACACAGUUUUAGUCAAAAUGAGCCAUUCAUGGUUUCUCUAACGUAUCUCUAAGUUCCUUAACUCUGACCUUGCUCAUGUUGUUCUCGCCCUUAUACCUCAUCUGCCUCUUGAAAGCCCGCCCACCCUUCAAAUCCAACUAAAACGCCACAUAUCCUGGAUGACAACUAUUCCCACAUCCUACCUAAUCCCACUCUGUCUUGGGUUAAGUUGUCUUGGUCUCCUAACUAGAUGGUAGGCACUCGGAGACUACAGGCUGAGUUCUGUUCCCGGUAAUGGUUUUUAGAUGCAGACACUCCACACUCUUUGUAAACAUUUAUGAAACCGAGUUAAGUCGGUUUGUCUUAUGGAGGGACCUUGUUAGCAUGUGUAGCCCCUGAAAUAGUUUUUAUAAAAGUCUAGACCUCAUUUCAUUUUAAAAUUAACACCUGCAUUUUUUUCCCACAAAUUUCUUGCAAAGGAUGUAUCUUCUCUUGUAUGCGUGCUUUAA
ensembl:lincRNA